rnacentral:rRNA from 1 species
UACAGAGGUCUCAAGCGUUGUUCGGAUUCAUUGGGCGUAAAGGGUGUGUAGGUGGCGCCGUAAGUCGGGUGUGAAAUUUCGGAGCUUAACUCCGAAACUGCAUUCGAUAACUGCGGUGCUUGAGGACUGGAGAGGAGACUGGAAUUCGAUGGUGUAGCAGUGAAAUGCGUAGAGAUCAAUGAGGAAGACCAGUGGCGAAGG